GACGAACGCUGGCGGCGUGCUUAACACAUGCAAGUCGAACGGAAAGGCCCUGCUUGCAGGGUACUCGAGUGGCGAACGGGUGAGUAACACGUGGGUGAUCUGCCCUGCACUUCGGGAUAAGCCUGGGAAACUGGGUCUAAUACCGGAUAGGAGCCAUAUUUAGUGUGAUGGUUGGAAAGUUUUUUCGGUGUAGGAUGAGCUCGCGGCCUAUCAGCUUGUUGGUGGGGUAAUGGCCUACCAAGGCGGCGACGGGUAGCCGGCCUGAGAGGGUGGACGGCCACAUUGGGACUGAGAUACGGCCCAGACUCCUACGGGAGGCAGCAGUGGGGAAUAUUGCACAAUGGGCGCAAGCCUGAUGCAGCGACGCCGCGUGGGGGAUGACGGCCUUCGGGUUGUAAACUCCUUUCGCUAGGGACGAAGCUUUUGUGACGGUACCUAGAUAAGAAGCACCGGCUAACUACGUG
rnacentral:rRNA from 1 species